GGCAGGAGAAUCACUUGAACCAGGGAGGUGGAGGUUGCAGUGAGCCGAGAUCAUGUCAUUGCACUCCAGCCUGGGCAACAAGAGCAAAAUUCCAUCUCAAAAAUAAAUAAAAAUUUUAAAAAAUAAAUAAAAAUUGGCUGGGUGUGGUGGUGCAUGCCUGUGGUCCCAGUUACUUGGGAGGCUGAGGUGGGAGGAUCACCUGAGCUGGGUAGGUUGAGGCUGCAGUGGGCGCUGUGAUUGCACCACUGUACUCCAGCCUGGGCAACAGAGUGAGAUCCUGUCUCAAGAAAGAAAAAAAAAAGUGGGGGUAUUACCUGCUUCUUAGGACGCUUGUAAGGUUGGAAUGACUAUAUCUGUGUUAAGUUUGUAAAAUGGGGUUGGACAUAAAGUAGGUGAUCAUUAAGAAUAAAGGGGAUGAUGGCCAGGCACGGUGGCUCUCGCCUGUAAUCCCAGCACUUUGGGAGGCUGAGGCGGGUGGAUCACAAGGUCAGGAGUUCGAGACCAGCCUGGUCAACAUGGGGAAACCC
rnacentral:lncRNA from 1 species